UACAGAGGGUGCAAGCGUUAAUCGGAAUUACUGGGCGUAAAGCGCGCGUAGGUGGUUUGUUAAGUUGGGUGUGAAAGCCCCGGGCUCAACCUGGGAACUGCAUUCAAAACUGACAAGCUAGAGUGUGGUAGAGGGUGGUGGAAUUUCCUGUGUAGCAGUGAAAUGCGUAGAUAUCAAGAGGAACACCAGUGGCGAAGGCGAGUCCCUGGACGAUACCUGACACUGAGGCACGAAAGCCAAGGGAGCAAACAGG
rnacentral:rRNA from 1 species